GGGGAAUUUUGGACAAUGGGGGCAACCCUGAUCCAGCCAUGCCGCGUGAGUGAAGAAGGCCUUCGGGUUGUAAAGCUCUUUCGGCGGGGAAGAAAUGGCAACGGCUAAUAUCCGUUGUUGAUGACGGUACCCGCAUAAGAAGCACCGGCUAACUACGUGCCAGCAGCCGCGGUAAUACGUAGGGUGCGAGCGUUAAUCGGAAUUACUGGGCGUAAAGCGUGCGCAGGCGGUUUCGUAAGACAGACGUGAAAUCCCCGGGCUCAACCUGGGAACUGCGUUUGUGACUGCGAGGCUAGAGUACGGCAGAGGGGGGUAGAAUUCCACGUGUAGCAGUGAAAUGCGUAGAGAUGUGGAGGAAUACCGAUGGCGAAGGCAGCCCCCUGGGUUAGUACUGACGCUCAUGCACGAAAGCGUGGGGAGCAAAC
rnacentral:rRNA from 1 species